CGGGGCGUAGCUCAGCGGUAGAGCCGUACGUUUGGGACGUCCGUGUCGGGGGUUCGAAUCCCCCCGCCCCGACCA
rnacentral:tRNA from 1 species